UUUUAACGCAGCAGGGCCGACGCGCAGCAGAUCGUAGACAGGCUCGAAGAGGGAACACGGUAAUACCGUGGCUGCCCCCGCAACUGUAAACAGCGAGUCUGCCGCAACCGCGCCACUGGAUUUCCGGGAAGGCCGCGGCAGAUAAAGACCUGUCAGCCAGGAGACCUGCCGACGAACGCUGGUCGCGA
rnacentral:ncRNA from 1 species